rnacentral:sRNA from 1 species
UUGAGAAGAGCUGCUGCAGGCAUUUGCAGAGUGAAUGAGAUCUGACUGAGACUUGACUUCAGAACCACUGGGCUGGCCUGGCCUCUUGACACAGCAACACACUGCUUCUUGCCUUCCAGGGAUGGCUCUGAGCUCUCGGGCGCGUGCCUUCUCCGUGGAAGCCUUGGUGGGGAGACCCAGCAAAAGAAAACUCCAAGACCCAAUACAGGCGGAGCAGCCUGAGCUGCAGGAGAAAAAGGGCGGAGAGGAAGAGGAGGAGAGAAGGAGCAGCGCUUCAGGGAAGAGCGAGCCGCUUGGUAAGUACUCCCAUUGCCCUGAGCCCGUUGCCUGAGCUUACUGGUUCCGCAUCUCUCCGCCUGGCUCGCGUCCCGACGCAGCCAGACAGCCACAUUAGGAGCCGCGAGACACCUCGACCACCUGGUGAAGGGGAAGUUUCAGCGCCUCCGAAUCCAUCCCGGAGUACAGCAGUUUCUUUGCGGUAAAGGGGAGGGUCCCUACAUAAUUGU